CCCUUAGAUGUUCUGGGCUGCACGCGCGCUACACUGAUGCGCUCAACAAGUUUAUGACCUUGCCCGGAAGGGUUGGGUAAUCUUCUUAGCACGCAUCGUGAUGGGGAUAGAUUAUUGCAAUUAUUAAUCUUCAACGAGGAAUUCCUAGUAAGCGCGAGUCAUCAGCUCGUGCUGAUUACGUCCCUGCCCUUUGUACACACCGCCCGUCGCUCCUACCGAUUGAGCAUCCCGGUGAAGACUCAGGAGAUAUGUACGUGGCUGGUCUCCAGCUGCGUUGCGUGCCGAAUUUGUCUAAACCUUGAUGCUUAGAGGAAGGAGAAGUCGUAACA
rnacentral:rRNA from 1 species